UCAAUAUAACUUUCAAAACGAACAACACUUUAACUAAUUCCUUGAUAAAUAAUAAACAAUCGUUCAAUACACUCGACAAAAAUGGAGUAUAUAAAUUGAAAUGCACAACUUGCAACGCAACAUACAUAGGUGAAACAGGUAGAGCACUAAAAACACGGAUAAAAGAACAUAAAACUAGAGACAAUUCUAACUUUGGUAAACACCUAAUAUUUAAUCAUGACCACGAAUUCAAUGAAAACAAAGAUGCACACAUACUCCACAAUAUUAAUAAAGGACAUUUAAUGGAAUUACUGGAGGGAUACGAAAUUAAAAAAUUUAUAGCUAACAAUCCCAAUACCCUAUGCCUUAAUGAACAGGUACAAACUUUCCAUAGACCAAUUUAUUCAUUCCUAAAGCAACCAUUCACACCUACUAAACACCAAAAUAAACGAGAGCAUCGAGAUAAAGUAGCGACUUGAUUCUGCAAUAUUUUGGUUCCUUGGCUACUAUUCCCAUCCUAUCCAAAAAAUCCCAAACUUCCCAUCACAAACCCAACCCCAAUCCAUAGAAAGUUUUUUUAAAAGAACACUAAAAAUUCCUUUUAAAAAAUUUUUUGAAUUUAAAUCAUUUAAAUAUCUAAAUUCACUGUUGCCAAUUGCUUUUGAUUUUAAUUUUAAUAUGGGUUUGACUUUAUUAUAUAUAGCAUAACGAUAUACGUCAUCCAAAAAACUGGUUCCGUAAUACAUGCCGAUGAAUUGCAAAAUCUCCAUUUCAAUUUUAGAAGUUUAAAAGUUUGUUUCUGUUUUAAUUGUUUAAUCAUAAGAUUUGUAAUCUGAGGGAUAUGAUUAUCUUUUAUUCAAAGAUCGACGAGUUUUCCUGAGGAUGAGGACUGGAUCCUCGAAACAUGUAGAAUUUAAAUAAAUAUAACAUUGAAAAGUAUA